rnacentral:rRNA from 1 species
UACGAAGGGGGCUAGCGUUGCUCGGCAUCACUGGGCGUAAAGCGCACGUAGGCGGAUCUUUAAGUCAGGGGUGAAAUCCCAAGGCUCAACCUUGGAACUGCCUUUGAUACUGGGGAUCUCGAGUCCGGAAGAGGUUGGUGGAACUGCGAGUGUAGAGGUGAAAUUCGUAGAUAUUCGCAAGAACACCAGUGGCGAAGGCGGCCAACUGGUCCGGUACUGACGCUGAGGUGCGAAAGCGUGGGGAGCAAACAGG